GAGUAUACACGUGAAUACGGCAUUAAUGUUUGAACUAUCGCUAAUUUCAAAUGAUCUUCACCAUGCUAGUUAUAGUUAAUACGCUCUCUUUAACAUAUCAACUUUAAGUUAUUUCCUUCGGUUCCUGUCCCGUAUCAAAGCAUUUUGAUCUCCUGCUGAUAGUCCAUGCAGGAGGACAGUGCACUGCUGCUUUAUUUCCGUGAUGUUUCUCUUUUUUCCCCUAAUCAAACACUUGGCCACGUGGUGCUAUCACGACAAGUACAUAAGCUGCAGCUGCAUCGAAAAGUUUAAGUAUUUUCAAAAAUUUUCGGACUAAUGGAUCUAAUGUCUCUUUUCCAUUUUUCUAUCGUGCACUAAAAGCUACAUUCAACGGAGUAGCAUGUUAUUGUAUUCUGAAAUAUUCCCUAUCAUAGCGGCAUUUUCUCCGUCUCAUAUUCAGCACUCUUAAAAUGUUACUUGGUCUCAGUGUCAGUUAAGACCACAUUUUUCAUCAUAUCUCAUUUUUUAAUUUAAUCCUGUGGCUCAGGCACAAAUUUAACGAAAAUUAAAUUCCUCAAUACAGCCGUGCGGUAAAUAAAAGUCCAAUCGUGAUUUCAUUUUUCAUUUUCUGUUGUCAGUGUCAAGAAUCAGUUCAAAGCUCUAUUUAUGCAUCUAAUGGUGUGAUUCUUUACAUAAUAUUUUAAAAGAAAUGCUGGAACUGGGAAAUCUGUUUGAUUCACAAAUACCUCGGGUAGAUGAAGGUGAAUUUCAGUCGUCAGCAUAAAUAAGAUGACAAUCCAAGAAAGUUAUGUCCAAAUUACAAUUUGGACUUAAAUGUUUAAUCAUUUGUGCGAUUAAUUUCAAACCUAUUCGAUUAUUAUCAGCUCACCAAAAUAAGUCAAGUUUGCAAAAUGAGCGGGGUCAGCAGUCACUGUCGUCAUCUGAAUGUACAUCUUUCCAAAACAUCCGCCAUGACCCCUCAUUCGUUGACAAGACUGGCUUCAUCAAGGUCUUUCUGGAGCAGUCGGACGAACAUGUUUACACCAUGGCCCCAGCCGGGUUCGGCAAGAGUCACCUGAUAGAUAUGCUCGACCUCUUCUUAGCUUCCCCAACCGUCCACAACGCAUCCACUCAUGCACCAUCCACCCAGGAUUACAAUCUCUUCAAUGGAACCGAAAUUCAUCGAAAUACCGCGUUUUUCAACCGCCACGUCCAGCAGUACCAGGUCAUCCGCAUGGACUGCCACCCCUACCGCCAGGUGAAGGACUUCGAAUCCUUCAGACGCAUCCACUGCCACGCCAUCUGCCGGCUGAUGUCCAGACACACUUACCUCCGAAACACGAAAUCCAACUUCUCAUGGCUUCAAUACAUGGACAAUGAUGAGAAGUGUUCGACUUACUGUGCCUUCAACUUCGACCAGAUCGACUACGCAUGUCGCGACCUCUCGCGGCAACUUGCGGAAGCCUCGCCAACAAACCAGUUGUCCUUCUCGUCGACGCGUACGACUCUGUAUUCCACGCGAUGGUUGAUCACGACGUCGAUGUCGCUAGAGAAGUUUUAA
rnacentral:lncRNA from 1 species